ACACCAAUGGUGAAGCGGUUAUCAUGCUUGCCUUCCACUUUCAAAUUAGCAAGCGGCAGGGGUUCGACUCCCCUUUGGUGUA